rnacentral:ncRNA from 1 species
CUCUAGUCUGGCACAGUGAAGAGACAUGAGAGGUGUAGAAUAAGUGGGAGGCCUCUGGCGCCCCCUCGUUUCCCGCGAGGGGGCGGGGCAGGGUCUGCUGGCCUUGUGGGCCGCCGGUGAAAUACCACUACUCUGAUCGUUUUUUCACUGACCCGGUGAGGUGGGGGG